rnacentral:rRNA from 1 species
UACGUAGGGGGCAAGCGUUGUCCGGAAUCAUUGGGCGUAAAGAGCGUGUAGGCGGCCUGGUAAGUCCGCUGUGAAAGUCCAGGGCUCAACCCUGGAAUGCCGGUGGAAACUGUCAGGCUCGAGUCCGGAAGAGGCGAGUGGAAUUCCUGGUGUAGCGGUGAAAUGCGUAGAGAUCCGGAGGAAGACCGGUGGCGAAGGCGGUCUGCUGGGCAGUUUCUGACACUGAUGCGCGACAGCGUGGGGAGCAAACAGG